AGAGUUUGAUCCUGGCUCAGGGUGAACGUUGGCGGCGCGCUUAAUACAUGCAAGUCGAGCGAGAAAGCAGCAAUCAUCUUCGGAUGUGCGCAGCGAGUAAAGCGGCGACCUGGUGAGUAACACGUGAUCUACCUACCUUUUCGUCAGGGACAACUAUUGGAAACAGUAGCUAAUACCUGAUAUGCCUUCGGGUGAAAGAGGCGUUUGCCUCGCGAGAAGAUGGGGUUGCGGCCCAUCAGCUUGUUGGUAGGGUAAUGGCCUACCAAGGCACUGACGGGUAGGGGGCCCGAGAGGGCGAUCCCCCACAUGGGGACUGAAAUACGGCCCUGACUCCUACGGGAGGCAGCAGUAGGGAAUCUUCCGCAAUGGACGAAAGUCUGACGGAGCGACGCCGCGUGGAGGAAGACGGCCUUCGGGUUGUAAACUCCUUUUAUAGGGGAAGAAUAAGGAUAUUAGGAAAUGAAUAUCCGAUGACGGUACCCUAUGAAUAAGCCACGGCUAACUCUGUGCCAGCAGCCGCGGUAAGACAGAGGUGGCGAACGUUACCCGGAUUUACUGGGCGUAAAGGGCGUCUAGGCGGCUUANCAAGUCUUCUGUGAAAGCCCCCUGCUUAACGGGGGGAGGCCAGUGGAUACUACUAAGCUAGAGGAUCGGAGGGGAAAGCGGUACUACUGGAGGA
rnacentral:rRNA from 1 species